rnacentral:lncRNA from 1 species
AGAUGAUCUCUCUCUGCUGCAGCAUUCCAGUCUGUGACCUGAUGACACUCGGGGUGCCAGAGGAGGUCCAGUCUCCACAAGCCAGUCUGCCUUUGGAGUGCUGGGGUUGUCCGUGUGUGCACUGCAUUCAGGUUCAGAGCAAACUUACUGAGACCUGACUUCGAGGCCCUGAGUUUGCCAGAACUCCAGAGAGAAGCUUGAAACCAAAACUGUCUCCAGAGCAUGUUUUAAGAAACGAACUGUAGGAGCGAGAGAUGUGGCUCAGUGGUUAGAGCACUUGUUGCUUUUGCAGAAGACCCAAGUUUGGUUCCCAGUAUCUACCUGGUGGCUCACAGCCAUCUAUAACUCCAUCUUCAGGGACCUGAUUCCACUUCUGUCCUCUAUGGACUUCAGACAUCCACACAGUGCACAUACAUACAGGCAAAACACUCAAACACAUAAAUAAAAUUAAAUAAAAAACUAUUUAUUU